rnacentral:lncRNA from 1 species
GUCCCUCCUAAUCCCUUCCUCUCGAUCCUCUCGGUCAGGUGACCGGAGCAAGACACCGGCAUAUCGACGGAACUCCUCGUCCGUUCGACUUCAUCGUCGAGAUACACACCCCCAAAUCACACCUCCCCCCCCCGAUCGACGGAACGACACGGCGACAAAGAUGUCGGCAAGUUGAUGAUGCGAUGAUGAUGAAGAUGACACGCUGGAGAUGGUGACGGCGGUGACGUCUGACGUCACCGCCGUCUGUCUCAGCCGCUGACGCUUUUGCUCCUACUCCGGCACCGACGUCUGACGUCACCACCGUCUUCCUCUCCACCGUCGUCCGCCUCCGUAUCCAGUUCCAGAUCUGAAUCUUCAUCGGAUUCAAACAGCCGCUACAAAUCGAAAUCAAAAUUGUGUUUUUGUUGUUUGUUCAUCAGAGUAGAUGAACUAGUUCUGAAUUCUGAUUGUUAUUAUUUGAAAAUAGGAAGUGGUGAUGAUUUGUGUGCAGAUCUAAGAUAGAUAAACGAUGGCUGUGAGAUAAAGAGAUAAACAGAUUGGAUUGUUGUAGCGUUCGGUGUAGUGUAUAAAAAAGUUGCAGGUUUGAUUCAGUGUUGAAGUAAAAUCGAUAGUGCCUUUUAUGAUGAAAAAGGAUGUUAGGCAUAAAUGACAGCUAGUAUCUUGUUUGCGAAAAAGAAAAAUGGCAGCUUGAAGAAGAUGUCGGGAUAG